rnacentral:rRNA from 1 species
AUUGAACGCUGGCGGCAGGCCUAACACAUGCAAGUCGAGCGGAUGAAGGGAGCUUGCUCCUGGCUUCAGCGGCGGACGGGUGAGUAAUGCCUAGGAAUCUGCCUGGUAGUGGGGGAUGACGUCAGGAAACGGGCGCUAAUACCGCAUACGUCCUGAGGGAGAAAGUGAGGGAUCUUCGGACAUCACGCUAUCAGAUGAGCCUACGUCGGAUUAGCUAGUUGGUGAGGUAAAGGCUUACCAAGGCGACGAUCCGUAACUGGUCUGAGAGGGUGAUCAGCCACACUGGAACUGAGACACGGUCCAGACUCCUACGGGAGGCAGCAGUAGGGAAUCUUGCGCAAUGGGCGAAAGCCUGACGGAGCCAUGCCGCGUGAGUGAUGAAGGUCUUCGGAUCGUAAAGCUCUGUUAGUAGGGAAGAACAAAUGUGUGUGUAACUCUGCCUGUCUUGACGGUACCUACACAGAAAGCCCCGGCUAACUUCGUG